AGAGUUUGAUCCUGGCUCAGGACGAACGCUGGCGGCGUGCUUAACACAUGCAAGUCGAACGGUACCAAACCGUAGUAAUAUGGUUUGGUAUAGUGGCGGACGGGUGAGUAACGCGUGAGCAAUCUGCCUUAAAGAGGGGGACAACAUUCGGAAACGGAUGCUAAUACCGCAUAAGACCACAGUGCCACAUGGCACAGGGG
rnacentral:rRNA from 1 species